GUGGAUGUAGCUCAGCUGGCUAGAGCACCAGGUUGUGGCCCUGGGGGUCGCGGGUUCAAGUCCCGUCAUUCACCCCA
rnacentral:tRNA from 1 species